AUGCUCGCCAGCCCCGCCCGGCCCACAUUGCGCAUGCUUGCCAACCACGCCCUGUCCACACCACACUGCGCAUGCUCGCCGGCCCCCGCCCCGCGCACGGCGUCAGCGUCUAGACGCAGGUGCGUUCCCGUCGAGGCUCGCGCAGCGGGCGUUUUUGGGGAUCGCCUGGCGGGGGUGUUCGGGAGCCGCGGGCUGAAGCACGGGGGCGUGCAGGCGCCCAGGCCUCGUGUAGUGAGGGCCGAGCCCCGCGCCGGCUUCGCUGUAGUCCGCAGCCCCCGGCGGCUUUGUGGGCGCAGCCACGCUCCUCAGCCGCCCGCCCACCUGGGCCUGGGCCCCGGUUGUUUCCCUGCGGUGGCUGUGGUCGUUCCCGUUCCAGGGUCUCGAGCGCACCGCCCCUUCGCUGCGCUGUUAGUCGAGGGCAGUUUUCUGGGGGAUCCCCCGAUCCCCCCCGCGCCGCUCAGGCGUCUUGGCUCGCGGAAGCGCCGGCGCCGACUGCCUGGCGUCGUCCGUGACUCCUGGCCCUUGUCUGUGGAUCCCUUUGCUUCUCGUUGCGGGUUGUGUUUCCUGCUUCGUGGGCCUGGCCGUUUGCGUUUGGAUGCAGGCCCGGGUGAGCCCUGCGUGGCCCGCUGGCCUUUUCCUGCUCCCUAGGUGACUGAGCCGCGUGUGUGACACAUCGGAGUGAAUUGAGGCAACGCGUUCCUUUCCAGGCUUGCAGCGGGCGGCGUCGUUCGCGCUCCUGAGCAGAGCCUUCCGGUGCUUUACUCGACGCCACAAAUAGUGCAGGGUUCCUCCCAGGGGCUGUCGCGAGCUAGAACUCUUCCCCGCCCCUGUGAGCUCGGGCUGUUCUUCCUCCUCCGCGUGGCUCACUCCAGCCUCGGAUGUUUCCUCGCUGCACAGACCUGCUCGGGAAGACUCGAGAAGGCCACCCCAGGACUCCAGCUCUCCCCGGAAGGGCUUCCCCUCGGAUUGCGUCUUGGCCCCUGGAACCCUCCCUCUGUAUCCUCUGCUGUUACUCUCUUGGCCUCCAUUUGGGUUGUGGCCUGGAUACUCUGGCUUGCUGCUUCCCUUCUCUUAAGGAUCACAGCCCUGCACUGCCUGUCGUCCGGUGCCUGGAAACCAUUGUAUUUUUUGGUCUGAUUUUGUAGUUGUUUAAGAACUUAAGUCUGGUCCCUCACACUCCAUGCCCAGAAGCAGAAAUGAGUAAAGUUUGUUUUAUAUUUUCUCAAUAUGACAAUUAUUGUGUUGGUUCAACUUAUGUUGUACUUUAAUUAGAAGAAAUUUGGCCGAAAAUACAAGGAAAAUAUACAAAUGCAAGUAAUUUUUUUUAAACUUCCCUGAAAGCAGGGUCUAAAGAAAUUACCAACCAACUUAGACUGGAUCUAGAAGAAAAGGAAGGGUCUUCGCAGUCUUAGGACUCUUCCAUUCCGCGACGUAGGUGUUAGGAUAACAGCCAUAAAUGGUUGUAAGACUUUGGGCUCAGAUAAGUAGACUUAAGUUCAAAUUUUGACUUAUUUUACAAGUGUGUGAUUUUUGGCAAGCUCAUCUUCCUAAACCAUGAGCUCCUUAUUUGUAAAGGGGACAUUAGCCACUCUCCAGCAACAGCCCUGGUACUUCUUCAAUCCUGGGAUGAGACGUAUGAUUAGCCUAAGCGAACCAGAAAAUCCAGGCCCGUGACCAGUGACUUAAUCUGGGCUGGCGAUAUAUCUAGCUAGGCCAACCAGGUGGACUCAGUAUUUUUGUGGGUGCUACUGGAAAAUUUAUUUAAUUUUAACUGAAUGUGGAAACAGCAACAGACAUGAAAUGGCAGUUGUAUUGCUGUCUUAUCAUGAGGUGAGGGCCUGAAGCUAUGGUAGCCACCCUGUGAACCUUGGAAGGAGGGUUCUACAGGAACUGGCAGAGCUGAGACUGGGACGCAACCCAUGUCCUGGUGACGUAUUUGAGUCCUGAGGCUGGCCCUCCUGUUAGUCUUUUCUCUUACUGGCUUCAGCCAGAUGGGGUCUGGUUUUCUGUUACUUGCAACAGGAAGAAUUGGAAUGAUAUCUAUGCAUGCUAUUACCGCCUUAUGGCUGUGGUGAGAUUAAAACAUAUUGUGGGUGAACUGCUUAGUACAGUGCCUGCUAUUCUUUAUAUUGGUUUUAAGGUGUUUUUCUUGAACUUUAAAGUUCUAAGAAAAAUUACCGUUUUAAAAUUCCUACCCUCUGUUCACAUGUUUAAAUUUUCAUGAUAGUUUUUCUGUCUGCAUGUUUUCUAUUCAAAAUAAAUUGGUCAUUCUUCAGUUAGCCACGAAGAA
rnacentral:lncRNA from 1 species